ensembl:lncRNA
CCCAUCAAUCUCAAAGCAAAGGUUGUAAAGUCAUGGACUUGUCUCCACCUCAGAGCUCUUGGAGUUAAUGUGCAAUGCUGAGUCAGGCUGGGACAGUGACAUGUCUACUAUCUUGCUGCUGCUACAUCUGCUACCACCAUUUGCACAAGGGUGAAAGAGACCAGGAAAGAUGUCUGCAUCUCAAGCUGUCGAUAACCUCAACAAAUUCCCAAAGGCUGGAACCAGUGUACAGCAGCAUCUAGACAACAGCAGUCAGCCCUACCUUCUUGCUCAGGGAUCCACAAGAAGCAGCAUUCACACCUUCAUUGUGAUUGACAAGC